rnacentral:lncRNA from 12 species
UUCUUAUGGACGGGAAAGGUGGUACCCAGAAUCUAUAAGCUACAUAAAAAUGCUGCGCCUCUGGUCCCCUGGAAUUUACCUGCGUAGCAUUGCAAAAAAACAGGAACACCAAUCAUAAAUUGUACAGGAAAGUUGUGUAUUUAUUUUAGAUGUUUGGGUUUUUAGAGGACUGACUUGACAUCUGUGCGGAAAAGCCUGAGUAAUCACAACCAGCUAUCAGCCCUUCACACCACCACUGCUGCUAUUUUCAGUGAUACACCCUGUUUUUGCUACAGUGCUCUUGGCAUCAUCAUGCUACUGUGAUUCAAUAUUUAUCUGUUAGAUCUAGUUACAUCACAACACCCUCUGUACUACCUAAAUCUCGUGUGGAACUUCUGCAGCUAACACCUAAAAUCCACGGGUUUUGAGCUCUCCCUUCCAAAUUCUCCAGGCACAGAACAAAAAGUCAGUGGAGAUGUGCAAACAUCUGGCCCCCUGUGAAUCAUCCAUCCUCCAAAGGCGGUAACCCGAAACAGCAGCUGGGGAACGCCAGCCGCUGCCUCAACUCCCAGGUUUCACACAAGCCUCGAGCAUCGGUUUAACAGCAGUUGCAUAAUAAGACUCAAAAGGCCAAGCACUCCUCCUGCCUUGUACAUCUCCAUUUCCACACGAACGAGAGUGAUGGAUGUGGACCAGAACCGAGCACUACCCGAGCGCCACUACCAAGCCGGUCAUUCUGCAGCAAAGAAGAGGAAAACCCAACACCUGGCGCACAAACACGCAGACACCCAGUGAAUAGGUGGAUCUACGGAGAGCUAUCUUCCCUUUCCC